rnacentral:sRNA from 1 species
AGACUAGAGCUAAAGAGCAAGACACCAACUUGGGUACAAGAAACGGAAUUCCAUAUAAAAGAAGACGCUCCAAAGAUGUCAAACCUGAACUCAGUUCAAGAGAAGAGAAGAGAGCUACAGAAAGUGAAAGAGAGAAGAGAGCAGCAGAGAAAAAAGAAGCCAGAGAAAAGAAGGAAGCUAAAGUCAGAUCAAGCAAUGCAAAGAAAACAAUGGAAACUU